AGUUCGGAUUGUAGUCUGCAACCCGACUACAUGAAGCUGGAAUCGCUAGUAAUCGCGGAUCAGAAUGCCGCGGUGAAUACGUUCCCGGGUCUUGUACACACCGCCCGUCACACCAUGGGAGUCGGAAAUGCCCGAAGUCUGUGACCCAACCUUAGGGAGGGAGCAGCCGGAGGCAGGUCGGACGACUGGGGUGAAGUCGUAACAAGGUAUC
rnacentral:rRNA from 1 species